GAUGAAGAACGUAGCGAAAUGCGAUACGUAAUGUGAAUUGCAGAAUUCAGUGAAUCAUCGAAUCUUUGAACGCAUAUUGCGCUCUCUGGUAUUCCGGAGAGCAUGCUUGUUUGAGUAUCAGUAAACACCUCAACUUCCAUAUCUUUUUUGAAAUGGGAGUUGGACUUGAGUGAUCCCAACGCUUUUCCUCACCGAAAAGUGGCGGGUUACUUGAAAUGCAGGUGCAGCUGGACUUUUCUCUGAGCUAUAAGCAUAUCUAUUUAGUCUGCCUAAAAAACAGAUUAUUACCUUUGCUGCAGCUAACAUAAAGGAGAUUAGUUCUUGUGCUGACUGAUGCAGGAUUCACAAAGACGGCUUCGGCCGACUUUGUAAACUCGAUCUCAAAUCAAGUAAGACUACCCGCUGAACUUAAGCAUAUCAAUAAGCGGAGG
rnacentral:misc_RNA from 1 species